rnacentral:lncRNA from 1 species
AACUAUUCUUAGGAAGUGCGACUCCUAUUGGUAAAACUUGCUUAGGAAGUGCGUCUCCUAUUGGGUGCAAUAAACUUAGGAAGUGCGUCUCCUACUGGUGAAACUUUCUUAGGAAGUGCGUCUCCUACUGGUGAAACUUGCUUAGGAAGUGCGUCUCCUACUGGUGAAACUUAUCUUAGGAAGUGCGUCUCCUACUGAUAAAACUUGCUUUAGGAAGUGCGUCUCCUAUGGUGAAACUGAACUUUAGGAAGUGCGUCUCCUAUGGUGAAACUAUUCUUAGGAAGUGCGUCUCCUAUUGUGAAACUGACUUAGGAAGUGCGUCUCCUAUGGUGAAACUAAACUUUUAGGAAGUGCGUCUCCUAUGGUGAAACUAUUCUUAGGAAGUGCGUCUUCUAUUGUGAAACUUGCUUAGGAAGUGCGUCUCCUAUUGAUGAAACUUGCUUUUAGGAAGUGCGUCUCCUAUUGGUGAAACUUGCUUUUAGGAAGUGCGUCUCCUAUUGGUGAAACUAUUCUUAGGAAGUGCGUCUCCUAUUGGUAAAACUUGCUUAGGAAGUGCGUCUCCUAUUGGGUGCAAUAAACUUAGGAAGUGCGACCCCUAUUGGUAAAACUUGCUUAGGAAGUGCGUCUCCUACUGGUACAAUGGAUUUAGGAAGUGCGUCUCCUAUUGGUAGAACUGAAUUUAGGAAGUGCGUCUCCUAUGGUAAAACUGAACUUAGGAGGAAAUGCAUCUCCUAUGGGUAAAACUAAAACUUAGGAGGAAAUGCAUCUCCUAUGGGUAAAGACGUGGAAUGUAUGCCUCUGUUAUCUGGGCGGGCUCCCAAUUUCAACACUUAAAAGUAAAGACUGAAUGUAUUCCUCUGUUAUUAUGGGCGGGCUCCCAACUUCAACACUUAAAAGUAAAAAAAAACUGAAUGUAUGCCUCUAUUAUCUGGGCGGGCUCCCAAUUUCAACGCUUAAAAGUAAAAACUGAAUGUAUGCC